UCCUGGGAGCUUGGAGGCUUGAGCUCUGGAGCGGGAUUUAGGCAGCCGUUUAAUGUCGUGCAUUAACUCACUGAACUGAGGCUCCAUCCUUCAAUAGCACUUAUCUACCCAACAACCGGGCUGGGGGAGCAGUAGUGUCUCCAUUGGCAUAAACGAAGAAACUGUGACUCAGAGAGGCUGAGUAAACUGCUUGAUGCCGUACAACUACAUACAGUGAUGAAUGUGAGAUUCAGACUUGGAUUUGUCCGGCUCCAAAAUCUCUGUUGCUUCCAUGACAAUAAAAUAAAGGAGAAGAAGAGCGAGAGAUGGUACGUCUAGAUGGCCAGGCGAAAACCGAGCACUGCUGAGCAAGCCCCAAGGAAAAGUGCAGCCUCCACACGAAGUUUUAUUAUUGGCUUCUGAGGAAGUGGCAGAAGAAAAAUGACUCCAUGUGGAAGCUCAGAGAUGCACCCAAGAGCAACAAAAAUGGAAUUAAAGAUUAUAUUUUGGAGAACAAAGUAACAAUCUCUGUGGAACAUUUGCC